rnacentral:piRNA from 1 species
UUGAGAAUUAAUAGCAUCCAAGGGA